CCGCACAGGGCUCUGGGGCCUGGCGCAACCGCGCGGCCCGCAGCAACUGGUGUCUCUCCGGGGCGCAGCUCCGCCCUUCCCGGGAACAAAAGCCGCCGCCCGCGCUGGAGCUCCCGGCGCGCGGGCCGAGAAGGGGCCGGAUGGGCCCGGGACACACGUCGAUGGCCAUAUGCUCCUGGAUGCUGAUGGUCGCCUUCUCCCCGCGCCGCCGGAGGGUCAUGCAGGCAGCGCCGCGGCGCGCGGCCCGGCCCGGCCCGGUGUGACCCCGGCCCGGGGGCAAGUCAGCGGGUCCCGCGGGGCGCUGCGGGGGCUGCGGGCAUCGCCGGCGUGGCCCCCGGACGGCCCUGACGCGGCUGCUGCCUGCUCCGCGGCGGCGGCCGGUGCGAGUGAGUGCGGGGCCGGCAGCAGGGGGCGGGCCCAGCCCGCGUCACCCGGCAGCAACCAAGCGACUACCAGGUUGCUUGCUGUCUGAGAUGCUUCUGUGCUUCUGGAUUUUGACGGACAUUGUAGAUCACCCUCCACUCAUCA
ensembl:processed_transcript Gm12339 predicted gene 12339